rfam:Triticum aestivum genome assembly, contig: Triticum_aestivum_CS42_TGACv1_scaffold_641821_T_2AL-0.157158_7AS-0.082694
UUGUUAUUCCCUCCGAUCCAUAUUACUUGUCGCUCAAAUGGAUGUAUCUAGAUGUAUUUCAGUGCUAGAUACAUCCGUUUGAGCGACUAGUAAUAUGGAUAGGAGGGAGUAGAAG